rnacentral:rRNA from 1 species
UACAGAGGGGGCAAGCGUUUGUUCGGAUUCAUUGGGCGUAAAGAGCUCGUAGGCGGUCGCGUAAGUCGGGGUGUGAAAUCUCCAGGCUCAACUUGGAGGGGCCACCCGAUACUGUACGACUCGAGUCCGGUAGGGGAGUGGGGAAUUCCUGGUGUAGCGGUGAAAUGCGCAGAUAUCAGGAGGAACACCGGUGGCGAAGGCGCCACUCUGGGCCGGUACUGACGCUGAGGAGCGAAAGCGUGGGUAGCAAACAGG